rnacentral:RNase_P_RNA from 1 species
CAGGCAAAACGCUCUAUCGCUUUCCGGGUUAAAUCCGGAGAGAGGAAAGUCCGGGCAACACAGAGUAUCCUGCUUCCUAACGGGAAGGCGCCGGCAGCCGGCGACAGCAAGUGCCACAGAAAAUAAACCGCUUAUUGUCUUUUAGGCAGUAAGUAUGGGUGAAAACGUGAGGUAAGAGCUCACGGCUUUCCCGGGAAACCGGGAUCGCGGUAAACCUCAGGAGUUGAAAAACCAAAUAGGUCCUGAAAGCGGAACGGCUCGUUCCCGUAUCCGAUUCAUCGGGUCGUCAGGAUGGGUAGGUUGAUUGAACUUGUCAGCAAUGGCAGGGCCAGAUUAAUGAUAGAAUUAUCCCCGGUAAUAACGGGAAGAUACAGAACCCGGCUUACAGAUUUGCUGCUGA